rnacentral:lncRNA from 1 species
AUACUCUUGAGAUUUGUCUACUUAUGUGUGCGACUGUUUCUAGGGUGCACAUGAGUCUUUUAUGCAUCCUAUUUUGUUCUUGAAAUAUGGGUGUGACAGAAGGAGAGGUAACAAGACAUGAAGAUUUGUUCCUAGAGAAGGACACCAUAGAAGAAGUAAAUGAAGACAUCAUUAAAGACGAAGCUCCCUCAUCGAAGUCCACCUCGCCAGCCAAUAAGGUAUCGGUUCAAAGAGCUGUAAUUAUUUCCGACUCACCAACACAGGAAGAAGAACCAUUGGAGUCACCGAAGAAGACAUCUGGAGUGACCGAAGAAGACUGAGCGAAAGGAGACUCCUGUUAGGCGGACUAAAAACAAUAAACCCUCGCCAAAAGGUAUAUUUGGCAGUUAUCCAUAUUUCCAUUUUCAAUGCUGCAUUAGUUUCCUUUAGAAGCAUGUUUAAUUUCCUCACAAUCAUAAUCAUUUAGUUCAACACCUUUUUGCAUUCAGAAAAGAAAAUAAAAAUAUUCACCAUGCAUAGUUUCCAAAAACAUUUACAAAACCUUGAAGCCCCAUGUGAGUCCUUUGGUGGUACAUCCCCAAGGUACUCACCGUGGUGGCACAAAAAAAUAUUUAGAUCCCUUUUCUUCUAGUUAGAUUUUUCCUUGAAACAUAGAAAUGGCUAUGCAUGGCUAUAAAAAAUGUAAAGCCCCAUGUGAAUAACUUUGUGGCAAUCCAUAAAGAUUACUCACCAUGGUGGCACAAAAAUAAAUAGACUAGUUGCAUUUUUGCUUUAUGCAUUGUAAAUUUGAAAAUCCAUAAAAAUAUGAAAACAUUUAAAAUACCAAAAAGAAAAAGAUCCUGGAUAUUAUGUGCUCAAUCAUUUGUGAGUUCUAGACAAUCAAGGUUUAGAGGUUUAUCAUUAAAGCUUAAUCCAGUUCCACAAGCUUUGUUGUCUAUUUGAGCUCCACAGAAUUUGAAGGAUCAAGAAGGCCGACAACCAGAGGAGGUAUCUUCACUGCUAGUCUGCUACAUCAAGAGACCACGUCAACAUCCAGCUUGGGGGAGAGCAUACCCCCAUGUAUCUAGCUAAGUGCUUCUUCCAUCUUUUGAAAUUUUGAAUCUGAAUUUGAAGUUGCCUUGUCUAGAUUAUGGAAACAAAUAAAAAGAUGAAUAAACCUUUUAAACCAAAUAAAGAAUUCCUUACAUAUUUUCUAUAUGAUUUUAGAAUUGUUAAAUAAAUAAAUAAAAGGAGAAGAUACAAGGAUUAAUUUUGCUUAUGCCAAACCAAAGUUUAAAUCGCAUGGAAAUGAUGAAUAGUUGCUCUACCACACUUUAUGAGUGCCUAGCUCUUAAACUCGAGCUAUCCCAAGUUUUAGACACAACUGUUUUGAUUAAGAAUUUACUCUAAGCCUAAAACUUGUGGGUUGUAAUGUUUGAGCUUAAGUCUAGGUAGUUGUUUGAUAUGAUAUGGAAAGGUUUUGAGCUUCUAUUAAUCAUAUUCCUAGAGAUGCUAGAGUUCUCGAGAGUUUAUCUUUUGAAAAACAUAAAAAUGUUACAUGAUGAGUUACUGUAUGACGAGAGCUUGAAUUCCUACCACAACCAGAUAUACAUGUCUUGUAGACUAGGAAAACACUUCACUAUCAUUUACUGCUUAUGGGCAUUGAGUUUUGUCAAGCAUUGUUGACCCUUAGGAACUAGUCAUGCUUUUAAAAUCAAGAUCACGUACACUCCUCCAUUUAUGCUUCUCCUACACCGGAAGUACGCAUCCACCAUCAUUUCAUCUGGACCCACACAAAAUUGUUUUACUCCUACAAAAACAUCCCAUUCAUUCAUCCAUUGCCAUUUAGUAAAGCUCCAAUUAUUUCUUGUUGCUACCUACCAUUUCAUUAUCUAGAAAAGAGAUUUGAGUGCUCUAUAAAAGAAAAGAAAAAGAGGACAAAGGUCCCAACAAAAAAAACAAAAAGAAAGAAAAAUAGAGCAACCAAAACUCUCCCCAAAACUUCCAAUAAAGGUAGGUAUGUUUUCAAGGAGCAGAGGAUUCCACUAUCACCAUUACAUUCCAAUCCAUUAUAUACCACACACAUGCACAUCUUGAUUUGAUUGUAUGACUUGAUUCUUUGGAUCCAUUGUUUCACUUUACAAUAUAUGUUCACAAGUGUGUAUGAGCUGUCUCCCCACCUAUGAGCUCCACAUAAGCCACUUAGUUAUAAGGUGAGAGAGAGAGGGCACCUGACUAUGCCGAUAACAAAAAUACCACAAACUUUGAGAGAAGAGAGAAGGCAGACAUCAUGAGUGCCUUGGAGAGGAUCCACAAAUACCACAUAUCAGAGACUUGAGAGGGUCAUACACAAGAAUCUCUGAGUUUUAUUUGAAAAUCAUGCAAAAACUCUAGAAUGAAAGUUGAUCAAAGAGCUUGAGGCAUAGUGCUUGACUUGACCAUUCUAUCCUUCAACGACUCAAGACCAAGGUAAAAGAUAUAAACCCCAUGGUGGAAGGUAAUAUGGGUAACUCUAAGUAAUUAUAGUUCAUUCUAAUCCAGAAGAAGGUUCUUGUUCAAAUGCAUGUGCAGCCUUAAAGUAUGAUAGCAUUGCAGCAACUCCUGAUCCUUUGCUAAGUUUUUCUUUGCUCAGGGACGAGCAAAAGGUAAGCUUGGGGGAGCUUGUUGAUGGUAGAUAAGAAUCAAUUUUAUAUCAACAAGAGAAUUGAAUAAGGGCAAGAAAUAAUCAUCAACAACAGAAUAGGGUUUCAACUGACAGAUUUCCAUAGGGUUUGGUGAAUGUCUAUUUCUACAAGGGGUUAUCAGGAAAUGACCUUUGGAGGCCCACAUGUCAUGAUUACAUAGAGAGAAAAGAUAUAUCUACGCCAUGUAUACAAAGGAAGGAUCUAGAAGAGUUAGGAAGCCACCAGAACGAAGCGGAACAGGAGCGGACCCUGGGCCACGGCGGCCAAGGGAGGCGCCUACCCUCUCCAUGUCCAAUCUAGAGAGUGGCCACGGAUCAUGGCCUAAACCAACUUAGAGGAUCUCUAAUCUUUGUCCAUUAAGGUCGGUUUGAUCCAAGGGCUACGGUUCAUCCCACCGACCUAUAUAAGGAGGGGUAGACCCUAGGGUUAGAGGCAUCAAUUCAAGUUAGAAGUUGAUCUCAUUCAUAGAAUUCAUUAUCUACUUUCUCCUCUCUAGAGCUCCAAGUUUAGAGGCAUAGCUACAUAGAAUAGAUCUUGUUGGAGGCAAGCGUUGUUUGGUUUCUAGAUCUAUCAGAGAGAUACUCAGUAAUUCUUGUAAUCUUUCUCCUACUUUGUU